GGGUGGAGAGCCAGGCGCUUCCCGGGCAAACUGAAUGAGAAAAUUGAAGCAAUUACCAGAAAAUAGAUGUGAAAACCUGUUAUCACUCAAAUUGAAAGCUCCAUCCUUGGUGUUGGCUAAUAUAGCAUGUGCUAUGUGAACAUGUAGACAUCAUUUUACUCUUCUGCGUCCCAAAAAGCAUGCCGAUGUGAGAAGUCUUCACAGAUCUGCUCCUACACUUGUGAUCUCUCCACCAAAAGAAGAAGAGGAUGAAGAAGAGAAAU